AUUGAACGCUGGCGGCAGGCCUAACACAUGCAAGUCGAGCGAGCGGCGGACGGGUGAGUAAUGUAUGGGGACCGCCCGAUAGAGGGGGAUAACUACUGGAAACGGUAGCUAAUACCGCAUACUAUCGGAUAACCCAUAUUGGAUUAGCUAGUAGGUGAGGUAAUGGCCCACCUAGGCGACGAUCCCUAGCUGGUCUGGGAGGAUGACCCGUCACACGACGACUGAGACACACCCAACACUCCUACGGAGGCAGCCGUGGGGAAGAUUGCACAAUGGGCGCAAGCCUGAAGCAGCCAUGCCGCGUGUAUGAAGAAGGCCCUAGGGUUGUAAAGUACUUUCAGUCGGGAGGCGUUACCGACAGAAGAAGAACCAGAUAACUCCGUGCCAGCCGCGGCGGUAAUUC
rnacentral:rRNA from 1 species